UACUAAUCUAGUUAGCCCAUGAGACUUGUUACAGCUGGCAGUUCUCAAAAAUGAGAGAUUACAAGUUAUUUUACUCUUCAUUGUUAAUCCUGUAGAAAAAUGGUGGGUUUGGUCUGUUUUGAAGGUGUACAUUCUACUUACAUUUUUUUUAAUUCCUGGUAUGGUAGGCUAAAACUUCAGAAAAGAACAUCUGAUAAGUCAGCAGGAAGAGAUUCUGGCUGACCAACUAAAGCCACUACUGAAGAGGGAGUCUGAAUAGGCUUGUGGAGGACCUGUGAUGCUGGGGGACGGACUGAUUCAGAGAACUGGAAAAGGGAUCCAAGAUCAUCACUACACUCCAGCAAGUUCUCUGCACAGAGCUGGUGAUGUGAAGACAAUCUUGAGAGCUGAACAGUUUACUUUGAAGUUUGGCUGUUUGUUAUUUCCUUCAAGGCUGGACACCAUAAGAAAAGGAGUUAAUCAGUUGCCAAGGCCACUCAGUGGGUAAAUAAUUGAGAUGAGACUAAACUAUGGGGUUUGACUUCCACGGUUACUGAGGUGAGCAGUAUUAAGCUGGGCUCUUAAACUGUAUCUAUGACUGACACUUUCAGAAAGACAUUACCAUUUGAAACUGGAGUUGAUCAGCCAUGUUGAUAAAUGUGUUUGAUUCAGUGGCAAAUAACCACAAAAAGGUUUAUAUACAGAUAACUGAUGUGGCUCUGGUCCAAGUAAACAAAUGAAUGUGAGAGAUCAUGGAUUUCAGGGAUGCCUUAUAAAGUAGGCUAGUGAUAACAAUGUUACUGGGGCUUUUUUCUCUGAAAAGUGGAGAAAAACGUCCUUUGCCAUGGAUUAACCUCAUCUGGGAUUCAGUGAGCCAGGACAAGGCGAACUGUAUGCUUCACCUCCACCAUGUUAGAAUUCUGCAUAAUUGAUGUCUCCCAGGCCAUUUGUGAGCAAAGUGAUGUGCCAAUGCAGAGUGGCUUGUAGGGAGGGUCUUAUUUUAGAAGUAUUGAGUAUGCUGGGAGAUUACCAUUUUUCUCCUUAGGUAGUCUUUAUCUUUAUUCUUCUUUGACAAGAAACUUAAGCUUUGAUGCCAAGAAGCACAAUGAAAAAGAAUGCUUUCCCCUUUCCCAUUAUCUUCCUCUUUGUUGAACCUGAGAAUACACCUAUUUAUUUCUUUGAGAGGUUAACUCAAGAGUGGCAAGCUACUUUUUCAUUUUCACUUACUUUCUCAUAUCCAAUUUCUGCUUUAUGAUGAAAUGGAUGGAAUUUUUUAGUACUUUUUAAGAUCAGGUUUAAAAAAAGGUGAAUAGGCAAUUAUAGCAUGGCAAUUACAUUAAAAAAAUCCUUGCUAUAGCUGCCAUUCUUGCAGCAUUUCUAGUUUUGUCUUUAUUACAGUACCAGCAUCCAUUCUCAUUAUUAUCAGCUAUAUUUCUCUUCAUUAUUACCAACAGAUAAAGGGGGGCGGGGGAUGGGGGGUAGGGGAAGUACAAAGAACUGCAGAUCAAACAGAAAACACUGCCGUACUAAGUUAAGGGAAUCCCCUAAAGGUUGUUUUCUGCGAUCCCAGUCUUAAGGUCCUUAGGACCUUUACCUUUCUGCAGUUUAAGGUCCUUAAUAUGUUCUGUAGCCCAGAGGCCUUACAUUUGCAAAAAGAGGAGGGAAAGGAAUCUUCACUAAGCAAAAUCUUUCUCAUUUUCACAUCUGCUCUACCAGGUUAUGCCACUGUGCAAACAGACUUUUCAAAAUCUAGAUUUUUCUGGGAAGACAUAUGCUUUUCUCCUACAAAUUAAACCUACUGUACUGGUGGAACAGUACAGUGUCAAGUUUUUCUAUGUCAGAUGGUCUGUGAAGAACUGGAGAUGCUAGGAGAUCCUACCUUAGAAAGUGAUUUGAAAUUCCUGACAACUGGUGCAAUCUGGCUUCUAAAAGCAAAAUAUUUACCCAGUAACACUUUCAAAUAUUUGUAUUAAAUUUCAUGUCACUUAUUUGCUUACUAACACUGUACCUUAAGGUGCUCCAAGAACAAAUAAUUCUUUUCCACUGCAGGUACAGUAGCAGUAUUCAGAGGGGAGCAAUACCAUGAAAAGGAAAGUCACACCCUUCAUUGUGGUGUUUUACAGUUUAGUAAUAUUGUUCAAAGUAUGAACCAAAUGUUCAGAUCAAAAUGAGAAGGUCAUAGGAUAUGAGUAUGUCAUAGGAUCAAAGAGGUGGUCACAGGAUAAAAUAUGGUCUUUAUUUAUGAUCCAGGAGUAAAUGAUGUCAUGUUGUAGACUUAGCUGCCAAGAAUAUGGGGAAGGUAUUUUGCUAAAACCUAUGUCUCCACAUUGGGAAAAUGGCAGGACAAACAUGUUACUGCAGGUUUUGGAUGAAAAAUAGCUGGGCAGAACCGAAAUGAUGCUAGUCAGUGAACUGAAAUAAAAGGUUGGUUGAAUAUCAUCUCAGCCUCCCCACUGAAGGUAUAUACCUAUUUGCCAACAUGUGACAAAGUCUUGGGAAGGUGAGGAAGUUGUGUUUAUCUGCUGAUGACAUUGGGAUGAACAGCAUAGCAAGGUAAGAGUGAACAGAAGUCCAGGAAACAUCCAUUUAAGGCAUUGUUGUAUCCAUUCAUUAAUAUGACCUUCUCCAAAGGAAUCACCAAAGCUGAGUAAAAAUGUUUGGCAGAAGGCUGACACCAUGCAUCUGAUGGCUCGGCCCAGUGUGAACAUAACAGAUCUUUAGAAGAGUCUUCCAGCUUCUCAGGUCGGCUCUGAUGCCACCGUACAGCUCUUGUCCUAGCUUACAAAGCAAUUAAUGGAUCGAGUCUCACCUACAUAAAAAAACCAUAUUUCUGUGACAGCUGAGGAGAUUACAAAUCCCAAAUAUAAAGACUUUGGGAAAGGAAGGGAGCAGAGAAAAAUGGUUUGCUAUGGAAUGGCCUGGCCUUGGAGAUCAUGCAAAUCCAAAUGCUGACCACAUUUUAGCCUGCGUUGUAAAUCAUUUACAGCCUAUGCGGCGGUCACAAUCUCAGAUUUAGUCCUAAAUUUAUAUUUUCCAAAAUCUCUAGUCCAAGGAAAUUUUUAGCCUCAAAGGUGACAAAAUGGCAUUGACCCUGAAAUUCCCUAGGGAUAUUAAUGUUGCUUUUGAUUUGUACGUGGAAAAUUCUCAUAUCUUAACACUGACGCUUAUUGUUGUGCUAUGAAAAGUAAGACAUAAUAAGAUGGAAUUCCACCUGAAAGCAGAGGUAAAUCUGUGGGCAGAAUGGAGAAAUGUAGGUAGAAGAAUGAUCUUUGUGCCAGGAUACAUGCAUUGAUUUCACAUGCCAGUUCACAGUCAUCUAAACUGUGGGUAAAGGGCUGUUAAUGGAUUUUAUCUCAUGCGGAGAUGACCACACAGUGAUUUAAUUUAUACCUUGGUUGAUUAUAAAGGCAAUGUGGUUCAACCCUAGCAUCCACCUUAGAGAAAAUAUCCCUAUAUAGCAGACCAGCUGCUCUAGGUAAAACAAGCAUGGCACAUGGGAUCCCGGCUACAUACCAACUGUGGGAAUUUUGAGGACUGAAAUGCAUUCGGUUCUAAAACAUAUCUAAAAUUAAGUUUAAUUUAAUAGGUGGGACAGAAGAAGUCCUACCUUAUCUAGGCAAAUACAAAUGCUAAGAAAGGAUGGUCUUGGUGCAAAAGUCUGCAAAGCCCAUGGAUAUUUAUAACUUGGGUUUAGCAAACUUCCCCACACUGUGUGUUAAUGUAUUAAUUUUAUUUAUUUAUUUAUGAAAAAUAAUGCUGUUUAUUUUAUCUGUUCUCCAAGAAAGACUGCUUCUUAAUGCUUGGACCCAUUUUUCAGGUAAAUUUAAUUGCUCUUCCUUCCUGCCCUCUGUCCUACUUGUCCUUGCAGCUUUUGAAGAAGCCAUGCCACAGAGGCAGAGGCUGGAGAGACCCCUGCAACUGAGGCAGUGCUGCAUCAGUUUGAGGCUUGUAGCCUGUAGGAAGAAUGAUAACUUUGAAUAUCAGUGGCCAUUGUGCAUGAGCCUAGGGGCUCAGGUCAGUGUUGGCUUGGAGGUCUCUGUUUUCCCUGGUCUUGAUAGCCAUGGUUGUUCAGUCCUUGUCUUCCCUGACCAGUAAUUGUAAAAAGGACAUUUAUGAGCUGUACAUCUGUCAAAUCCUUUUGGGCUACUGAGGUCAGAAAAAUCUAGCAGUGUCAGUUCACUCAUCCUCUGCAUUUGCCAAUAAUGUUACUUAUAUUAAUGUGUUUUUUCAAAUGGUGUAUUGUUGAAUGAAAUAAUUGGUGGAGGUGAAGUUGGAGAUAUCACAAAAAUUUAGUUAGUUUCAUGUGGAUUGAAGGCAAAUUUGGAGGCUGGUGCUCUACAGACAUGCAAUGAAGUUAAUUAUCUCUUUAAUCUCGUAUAUUUAAACCUAGCAAUAAACUAAGGAAAGAUGAUAUUGAUCUGCAGGAACUUGAUGGAGACAAAGCAAGGAUUGCAAAAAACCAGAAAUAUUAUGCAUAAUUAAGAAAAUUGCUAAUGAUAACUUUAAUCAAUGAAAUUAGAGAUGGAAAGGCUGCUAGGUCAAGUAUUCCAUCCAAGGCCUCUGACAGCUUAUUUCCUUAUCACUGAGAGAACAGUUUUCAAUUUCAUGCCUGAUUUUGGCUCAUCCUUCACUUCUAGUUAACCAACAAAAUCUGUCUGAAUUUCACAGAUAUUAUCGUAUUUUUUUCCAGAAAGAUUAAGGCAAAAUGAAGAAGGCAUUUUCAAAAAUGAGGGUUAAAAAUAUGAAGGAUUGCCAUUACAAAACACUCUUCCAUAGCUCACUCUAAUCUGUUGUGGCUUUGCCUGGAAUAGCUUUCUAUUUGUUCUCUGCCCCUGUCCUUAGCAGCAGCCUGUAUGUUUGUCAGGCCACAAUAAUUUGAGUGGUAGGACUGUGGGCAACUUGAAAUAGGGUUGUGCUGUGUCGUGUGGUACUUUCUGCCAGGUAGCUACAAGCUCCCCAAAACAUUCCUAUGAGCCUUCAGAAUGAUGAAUAGCAUCACUGGUUUGGGCACAGGCUGCAGAAAGCCUGAACUGGAGCAGCUGCCCUGUAUGACAUUUGCAGGGCACUGAAACAUCCAGCUAACCCAUGUUUCCAGAGUCAGUAACAAUCCAGAAGAUGCAGAGGAAGUGCUUGGUUGGUUCUACCUCUGCUGAUAAAGGACCUUGGCAGUGAUGAGUUUUGGGUGGCACUUAAGGCUAGCACUCCAGUGUAUGUUUCUGCAUCCGGGUAAACUGAGGUUCAUCACAUCUAAGUAGGUCCACUGCUUUAUUAAAGCAACAUUCCCAUAUUCCUCCCUAGCUCAGUUGCUGGAGCCAGUUUUUUUUGUCAAGAAAGACUGGAUGGAGAGGGAGAGAACUGUAUGUGAAACAGUAGAAAGGACAGGCCUGUCUGUGCAUCACAAAAGUCAGAUAUAGAUCUGUAUAACCUGAAAGAUACCACAAACACUUGAGUCCUCCUCUCUGUUCCCACCUUGGUCUUAAACAAUAGGAUUGACAUAGCACAGGGUAAGUAUAAGAAAACUGAUCAGUAAGAAUAAAAGUUAACUGUCUCAUGCUGUGGGUGUAAACAGAUUAAAUAUAAUUUUAACUACACACUCCAAAUACUGCACUUUCUAGCAAGAAACUCUUUGAAUUUUGGAAGACAAGAAUGCUUCCCCAUGGAGACCAGACAUAUCACCCUCAGAAAGCUGAUUUAUACCUAGGCUGGAUGAGCUUGCGGAUCAGAAAACUGAAGUAUGUACGAAGAAUAGGAACAGGGAAAGAGAGAAAACUUCAGGAGUAAAGCAAUGAAUGACCAUUUUAUUCUGGGGGGUGGGGGGGAAGGUUUUACAUAUAAACACACACAAAAAAGAUAACUGAACAGUAGUAUUGUUUGGAUGGUUUUCCUGUAUAAAGUGACUAAUCUCCCCAGAGCCAUAGGUCAAAAUCUAGGCAGGAUUGGCUUUGCCCUUCAUCCUCACUUUUCAUCUCCAUGGGAAUAGAUUAGUGCUUAGCAGCACACGCUGCAGCAGGAAACAGUCUCAGUGUGUGCCAUUCCUCUGAUCAAGAGCAUUUUCUUGCUUAGUACACUUCUGUGAUUGACUUAGGGUUUCUUUUUUCAUGUGCAGCAAAGCCUUCUGCAUUAUUAUAAACAAAUUAUAAAGUUGCAUAAUUGUAUCACUUAUGUAAUUUAAUUUGUGCUUUUUGCAUCUCCCAGUAAGAGAAAAAAAUAAAAAAAAUAUCUAUGUGUAUGCACACAUAUACAAACCCAGGCUUUUUCUGCUUUCUGUGCUGUGAUUUUC